UUUCUGGGUGCCAAGGUCAAGGUCAAGGCUACUGAGAUUUUUACUAAUAAAUAUGUUGGUUACUAACAUGUUAUAUCUAAUAUUUCCUUUGUUCAGUUGACAGUUUUCAACCUACAGCAGACUGUUUCACAUUUUGGAAGUUCCUAGAUGGUUAUUAUAACCAGAAUUGUUACAUAUUACAGACUCAGUCCACUGUAAAUUAUUUUGUAUGAUAGUUGGACUUCAGUUGAAUCUGUAAAAACCAAUAAGGCAGACUGGUGAGGGACUUACUCCUCAAGACCUUCUGGUAUCCCUUGGAUGGAAUGAUGUCAUCAGAAAUUGCUUCUCAAAGAUUGCACAUCUGGUUGAACUGUUGAAUAUUGUACCAACAUCAACAGCUUCGGUGGAAAGGGGGUUCAGCCUGAUGAAAGGGCUAUGUACACCCCUUAGGAGUUGCUUGGGGCAGGGCCAUUUAACCAAUUUGAUGCUGAUUUGUCUGGAAGGUCCUGCAGAGCUGUCCGAUGAGGCCCUAUAGACUCCCUUGUUCUUACAUUUAGGAAUAAAAAGUCAAGGCAUCUGCCUUUAUAGACAAUAUAGAGAACAUUGUCAAAAUUAAACAAAAUAUGCAAAGGA